rnacentral:rRNA from 1 species
AAACUCUGCAAUAAGCGAAAGCUUGACAGGGUUAUUCUGAGUGAUUUCCGCUAAGGAAAUCUUUUGGCACCUUGGUGCAGAAUAAGGGGUGGCAAGCUGGUGUCAGCCGCCGCGGUAAUACCAGCACCCCGAGUGGUCGGGACGAUUAUUGGGCCUAAAGCAUCCGUAGCCGGUUCUACAAGUCUUCCGUUAAAUCCACCUGCUCAACAGUUGGGCUGCGGAGGAUACUAUAGAGCUAGGAGGCGGGAGAGGCAAGCGGUACUUAGUGGGUAGGGUAAAAUCCGUUGAUCCAUUGAAGACCACCAGUGGCGAAGGCGGCUUGCCAGAACGCCUCGACGGUGAGGGAUGAAAGCUGGGGGAGCAAACCGGAUUAGAUACCCGGGUAGUCCCAGCUGUAAACGAUGCAGACUCGGUGAUGAACAGUGCCGCAGGGAA